GCUCCAGUAGCGCAAUUGGUUAGCGCGCGGUACUUAUAUGACAGUACAGAGCAAUGCCGAGGUUGUGAGUUCGAGCCUCACCUGGAGCA
rnacentral:tRNA from 1 species